UACGUAUGUGGCAAGCGUUGUCCGGAUUUACUGGGCGUAAAGGGAGCGUAGGCGGAUUUUUAAGUGGGAUGUGAAAUCCCCGGGCUCAACCCGGGGGCUGCAUUCCAAACUGGAAAUCUAGAGUGUCGGAGAGGAAAGCAGAAUUCCUAGUGUAGCGGUGAAAUGCGUAGAGAUUAGGAAGAAUACCAGUGGCGAAGGCGGCUUUCUGGACGAUAACUGACGCUGAGGCUCGAAAGCGUGGGGAGCAAACAGG
rnacentral:rRNA from 1 species